CAGAGAUUUAGAGGUAUUUGUGCAUGCUCUAUAUUACAGUUGAAAAGUGUAUGUGACAAGAUGAUUAACGUUUGCUUUUGUUAAAUCAGGGCUUCCCCAGCCAGGACUUCGGCUCAGACUGUGGCAUAUUCAUGUUGAUGGUAGGUCAUAACGAGCUGUAAUGCACAAAUAUUGUUGUAUCUAGAAUAACUUUCCAACAUGGACUUUUUUAAUGUUAUCUCACAUGUUGUCUCAUAUUUUUUUUAAGUCUGCCAUGUACAUUGUUAUGGAGUCACAGUUUGACUACUCAGUUGUAAGUACUUUUCAACACGCAGUGUCAUCCUCAAGGUUGUAUUUUGUAUUGUGCACUAAAAUGAAAUACAAACAACAAUUUCAGCAUGACAUGCCUGUUUUGCGGAGAUGGUGGUGCCUGUUGCUCUUGGACAACAAAGCUUUGAACAGGUAGACAGUUUAAGUAAAUUAGAUGCCCUAAUUAACUGGA